rnacentral:tRNA from 1 species
GGAGUUGUAGCUCAGUGGUAGAGUGCCUGCCUAGCAUGACUGGAGGCACUGGGUUUGAUCCUCAGCACCA